rnacentral:tRNA from 1 species
GAGGGUGUAGCCCAAGCACUAGAGCACAUGCUUAGCAUGCACGAGGUCCUGGGUUCAAUCCCCAGUACCUCUU